UACGUAGGGUGCGAGCGUUGUCCGGAAUUAUUGGGCGUAAAGGGCUCGUAGGCGGUUUGUCGCGUCUGCCGUGAAAGUCCGGGGCUCAACCUCGGACUUGCGGUGGGUACGGGCAGACUAGAGUGUGGUAGGGGAGACUGGAAUUCCUGGUGUAGCGGUGAAAUGCGCAGAUAUCAGGAGGAACACCGAUGGCGAAGGCAGGUCUCUGGGCCACUACUGACGCUGAGAAGCGAAAGCAUGGGGAGCGAACAGG
rnacentral:rRNA from 1 species